rnacentral:rRNA from 1 species
UACGGAAGGGGCAAGCGUUGUUCGGAAUCAUUGGGCGUAAAGGGCGCGUAGGUGGUUCUGUAUGUCUACCGUGAAAGCGUACGGCUCAACCGUAUUUUGUCGGUGGAAACUGCAGGACUUGAGGCUGGGAGGGGCUGGUGGAAUUCCCUGUGUAGCGGUGAAAUGCGUAGAGAUCGGAAAGAACACCAACGGCGAAAGCACUCUGCUGGGCCGACACUGACACUGAGAGACGAAAGCUAGGGGAGCGAAAUGGG